rnacentral:lncRNA from 1 species
GGUUCCCCAAGGGAAAGGUCAAAGCACAAAGUUAAAUUAUGACUUGUACAAGCUACAAAGGAUCAAGGGAUUAUGGUUGAGGUCCAUGGAUGACCAGAUGAACAAGCAAAGCUUCCAAUCAAGGCUCACCAAUAUAUUAGGGUUUUAGAGGUGAAUGGGAUGACUUGUGUAGUCCCCCAAGGUCAAAGAAUGCUUGAAGAUAGCAAAUAGAGUUUAGGGUUGAUU